UAGAGUUUGAUCCUGGUUCCAUCUUACGACGGCGCCCCGCCUAUGACAUGCACCUUGAACGAGCUGCUUCCUCGCUCCCUGAUCAAAGAGUUCACCGGGUGAGUAAUUUCUGGCUAACCCGCCUGGUGGUGGGGGAGAACCUCGGGAAACCGGGGCUAAUACCGCAUUCUGCCUUCGGGUUAAAGGAGCAAUUCGCUUGAAGAGGGGGUCGCGGCUGAUUCGAACUGAGGUGGGGUAACGGCCCUUAGCUCCCAUGAUCGGGUUUGCGACUGAUAGGGCCCACCGCCGUACUGGAACUGAAACCCUGGAAGACUCCUACAUGAAGGACUUGACGGGGAAUUUUGCUUCCUGGGGGAAACCCUGACGCGUUUCACGCCGAGUGGAGGAUGAAACUCCUUGGGACGUAAACAUAAUGCUAGCGCUCCUAUAAUGACUGUACCCGACGAAUAAGCACCCGAUAUGAUCACGGCCAUGGCCCACCUCAUCAGAAGUGGGUGAGCAUUAAUGGAAAUUUCUGCGCCUGUACGCUGCGCAUGCAGCGCAGGUAAGUGAUCUGCGAAAUCCCCGGAUUAACUCACAUGCUGCAGCGCUAGCUCCGGUGCCCGUCAGUGCCUUAGGUUUCAGCAUUUCCACCGUACUCGCCAAAUGCAUUGCUAUCGCGUGAACUGCUGUGGGGAAGGCUGGGUACUGUGACUACACCUGACACUCGUCGUUUAAGGCUAGGAGUAGCAAGCUGACUAGACCUGCUUGGCUCCCCUAGCCCUCAACGCAUCAUUGCUAGUUGUAGUCAGUACGCAGCUUGCUCGCAGCAGCUCACUCCGAAAUCAUCCGUUGCGAGUACCGCGGCAUGCCGAGACCUAUGCGAUUUUCAGGCACGCCGAUUACCCUGGAAGCAUCCGAGUA
rnacentral:rRNA from 1 species